rnacentral:rRNA from 1 species
GACGAACGCUGGCGGCGUGCUUAACACAUGCAAGUCGAACGGAAAGGCCCUGCUUUUGUGGGGUGCACGAGUGGCGAACGGGUGAGUAACACGUGAGUAACCUGCCCUUGACUUUGGGAUAACUUCAGGAAACUGGGGCUAAUACCGGAUAGGAGCUCCUGCUGCAUGGUGGGGGUUGGAAAGUUUCGGCGGUUGGGGAUGGACUCGCGGCUUAUCAGCUUGUUGGUGGGGUAGUGGCUUACCAAGGCUUUGACGGGUAGCCGGCCUGAGAGGGUGACCGGCCACAUUGGGACUGAGAUACGGCCCAGACUCCUACGGGAGGCAGCAGUGGGGAAUAUUGCACAAUGGGCGGAAGCCUGAUGCAGCAACGCCGCGUGCGGGAUGACGGCCUUCGGGUUGUAAACCGCUUUCGCCUGUGACGAAGCGUGAGUGACGGUAAUGGGUGAAGAAGCACCGGCUAACUACGUG